rnacentral:rRNA from 1 species
UACGGGAGGCAGCGGUGGGAAUAUUGGACAAUGGGCGAAAGCCUGAUCCAGCAAUGCCGCGUGAGUGAUGAAGGCCUUAGGGUUGUAAAGCUCUUUUACCAGGGAUGAUAAUGACAGUACCUGGAGAAUAAGCUCCGGCCAACUCCGUGCCAGCAGCCGGGUAAU